rnacentral:lncRNA from 1 species
AUGCAGAGGGAUGAAGCAAUAGAAGGUGGUUUGAGAAUUAUUGAAGGUGAUGUUGUGAAGUGGUCAUUGAGAAGUUGCGGAAGAUUGGUGCAAGAGGAAACCGUGGAUUGGAGGUCGGAGUUGAUAAAGGCCAACCGUUAUGUUAAGACAGGAGCUAGUUUUCGUAGCCGCCUGGUUUCAUCUUAUGUUUGUCGGAUGCCUAGCGAACUGAUUCUGCUUAUCAAUUUAUGCAGGAAUGGAUUUCAUGGGACAGAGGUGCAUACUGACUUGGUGUUUUUCCGGUCUUAUUUCCUUGGUGACACAGGCUAUGAAGAGUUGAAGAACGACAGAGGGCUUAAAGAAUUAACUUGGAUAAGAAGCAUAGUAUCAGGUUAA